UACGGGGGGGGGUAAGCGUUGUUCGGAAUUACUGGGCGUAAAGGGCGCGUAGGCGGUUGGAUAAGUCAGCUGUGAAAACCACGGGCUUAACUCGUGGCCUGCAGUUGAGACUGUCUGGCUUGAGUGUGGGAGAGGAGAGUGGAAUUCCUGGUGUAGCGGUGAAAUGCGUAGAUAUCAGGAGGAACACCGGUGGCGAAGGCGGCUCUCUGGACCACAACUGACGCUGAGGCGCGAAAGCUAGGGGAGCAAACAGG
rnacentral:rRNA from 1 species